rnacentral:rRNA from 1 species
UGAGGAAUAUUGCGCAAUGGGCGAAAGCCUGACGCAGCGACGCCGCGUGGGGGAUGAAGGUUUUCGGAUUGUAAACCCCUUUUGUGAGGAAAGAUAAAGUGGGUAACCACUUAGACGGUACCUCAAGAAAAAGCCACGGCUAACUUCGUGCCAGCAGCCGCGGUAAUACGAAGGUGGCGAGCGUUGUUCGGAUUUACUGGGCGUAAAGAGCACGUAGGCGGUUGGGUAAGCCUCUUGGGAAAGCUCCCGGCUUAACCGGGAAAGGUCGAGGGGAACUACUCAGCUAGAGGACGGGAGAGGAGCGCGGAAUUCCCGGUGUAGCGGUGAAAUGCGUAGAGAUCUGGAGGAACACCGAUGGCGAAGGCAGCCCCCUGGGCUAACACUGACGCUCAUGCACGAAAGCGUGGGGAGCAAACAGGAUUAGAUACCCUGGUAGUCCACGCCCUAAACGAUGUCAACUAGUUGUCGGGGAAGCAAUUCCUUGGUAACGAAGCUAACGCGUGAAGUUGACCGCCUGGGGAGUACGGCCGCAAGGUUA